rnacentral:rRNA from 1 species
GACGAACGCUGGCGGCGUGCCUAAUACAUGCAAGUUGAGCGAUGAAGAUUGGUGCUUGCACCAAUUUGAAGAGCAGCGAACGGGUGAGUAACGCGUGGGGAAUCUGCCUUUGAGCGGGGGACAACAUUUGGAAACGAAUGCUAAUACCGCAUAACAACUUUAAACAUAAGUUUUAAGUUUGAAAGAUGCAAUUGCAUCACUCAAAGAUGAUCCCGCGUUGUAUUAGCUAGUUGGUGAGGUAAAGGCUCACCAAGGCGAUGAUACAUAGCCGACCUGAGAGGGUGAUCGGCCACAGUGGGACUGAGACACGGCCCAAACUCCUACGGGAGGCAGCAGUAGGGAAUCUUCGGCAAUGGACGAAAGUCUGACCGAGCAACGCCGCGUGAGUGAAGAAGGUUUUCGGAUCGUAAAACUCUGUUGGUAGAGAAGAGCGUUGGUGAGAGUGGAAAGCUCAUCAAGUGACGGUAACUACCCAGAAAGGGACGGCUAACUACGUG